rnacentral:tRNA from 1 species
GCCUCAGUAGCUCAGGGGACAGAGCAGCGGGUUUCUACCCCGUAGGUCGUGGGUUCGAAUCCUACCUGAGGCG